AAAACAAGACUCAACCAAAUGCAAUUCUGCACUGAGUUCCUCAAACCAUAGACAAAAUACAACACUCUUUUACGCAACACGAAAUUCCUCUCAAUAAAGAACACAGCCAAUCUAAUCCCCCAUCCGGAAACUAAUCUCCCACAAAUCAACACUAAAACCAUUAACUCCCAUUUCCACAAUGCAAGCCCAAAUAUACUCCUCCCCUUGAAUUUUCUAAUAGUAAGACUACAAACAAAAGCUGCAAUUAUCAAAAUCAAACUCACCAUCUGAAGAACAGAGAAUAAAUUAAACUUCAUUUUCUUAUACUCUUCUGGUAAAUCCUCAUCUGAAAAAGGGUCAUCAUCUUCAAAUUCAGUACUUCUCCCCAAAAUCCCAGAUUUCAUAGUAAUCUUCUGUGACCUUUGAUCUUGCUCAGGUGGGUCCAUUAACCUCGAUUUUGUUCUAGUAGCAGCUAAAAGAUUCGAUUUUCUCCUAAACGAAGAGCUGGUACUGAGCACAACCUCAUCUUGUAAACCCGGUCCAGUACUCAAAUUGGACCGCCGGCGAAUCGAUCCGUUACCGGCAAGUUUCUCAUUGAAAGAAACCCGAACUUCCCUCGGUGUAAGGACGCCGUGGUUGGGGCUUUCUUCCACCCUAGAUAACGGAGACGGCUGUGAAAAUGGCGAUUCCGUUACAAAAUCG
rnacentral:misc_RNA from 1 species